GAUGAACGCUGGCGGCGUGCCUAAUACAUGCAAGUCGAGCGGAGCGGGGACGGGUGAGUAACACGUGGAUAACCUCCUCUAAGACUGGGAUACACUCCGGAAACCGGAGCUAAACCGGCUACUUAGCCAUGUAGACACUCUGCAUUUGCUAGUUGGUAAGGUAACGGCUUACCAAGGCCACGAUGCAUAGCCGACCUGAGAGGGUGAUAGGCAACACUGGAACUGAGACACGGUCCAGACUCCGACGGGAGGCAGCAGUAGGGAAGCUGCCGCAAGGGGCGAAAGCCUGACGGAGCAAUGCCGCGUGAGUGAAGAAGGUCUUCGGAUCGUAAAACUCUGUUAGUAGGGAAGCGGUUUCUUAACACAAAGCCACGGCUAACUACGUGCCAGCAGCCGCGGUAAUAC
rnacentral:rRNA from 1 species